UUAUGAAGGCAAACCGAAGAACUAUGUUAAAGCAAAUAGUGAAUGAGGAAAGGCCACACGAGAACUCAGUCAGAAGGCAGGCACCUGCAAGGCAAGAAGAGAGGCUUCACCAGAAACCAACCCUGACAGCACAUUGAUUUUGGACUUCUAACCUUCCAGAACUGCUACAAACACAUCUCCCUUUCGAACACACCCCUCUUAAAAGAGACCCGGAGAGCCUGCAGAGGAGGAUCAGACAAGCUGUCCU